UACGAAGGGGGCAAGCGUUGUUCGGAAUUACUGGGCGUAAAGGGCGCGUAGGCGGCUUAUCAAGUCAGGCGUGAAAUUCCCGGGCUCAACCUGGGGGCUGCGCUUGAUACUGAUUGGCUUGAAUGCGGGAGAGGAUAGUGGAAUUCCCAGUGUAGAGGUGAAAUUCGUAGAUAUUGGGAAGAACACCGGUGGCGAAGGCGGCUAUCUGGCCCGCAAUUGACGCUGAGGCGCGAAAGCGUGGGGAGCAAACGGG
rnacentral:rRNA from 1 species